GGGCCCGCACAAGCAGUGGAGCAUGUGGUUUAAUUCGACGCUACGCGAAGAACCUUACCAGGGCUUGACAUCCUCUGCCGGUCGUAGAAAUACGAUUUUCUGGUUUUACCAGACAGGGAGACAGGUGCUGCAUGGUUGUCGUCAGCUCGUGUCGUGAGAUGUUGGGUUAAGUCCCGCAACGAGCGCAACCCCUGUUCUUUGUUGCCAGCGGUUGAAGCCGGGCACUCAAAGGAGACUGCCGGAGAUAAUUCGGAGGAAGGUGGGGAUGACGUCAAAUCAUCAUGGCCCUUAUGUCCUGGGCUACACACGUGCUACAAUGGCCUGUACAACGGGCAGCGACGGAGCGAUCCCGAGCCAAUCCCUGAAAGCAGGUCUCAGUUCGGAUUGCAGGCUGCAACUCGCCUGCAUGAAGUCGGAAUUGCUAGUAAUCGCGGAUCAGAAUGCCGCGGUGAAUACGUUCCCGGGCCUU
rnacentral:rRNA from 1 species